rnacentral:rRNA from 1 species
AUUGAACGCUGGCGGCAUGCUUUACACAUGCAAGUCGAACGGCAGCAUGGGCUUCGGCCUGAUGGCGAGUGGCGAACGGGUGAGUAAUGCAUCGGAAAGUGCCGUGUAGUGGGGGAUAACACAGCGACAGUUGUGCUAAUACCGCAUACAUCCUACGGGAAAAAGCAGGGGAUCGCAAGACCUUGCGCUAUACGAGCGGCCGAUGUACAAUUAGCUAGUUGGUAGGGUAAAGGCCUACCAAGGCGACGAUCGGGUGCGGGUAUGAGAGAACGGUCCGCCACACAGGAACUGAGACACGGUCCAGCCUCAAACGGGAGGCAUCAGUGAGGAAUUUGGGACAAUGGGCGAGAGCCUGAUCCAGCAAGGCCGCGUGAGUGAAGAAGGCCCUUGGGUUGUAAAGCUCUUUCGGUAGGGAAGAAGGAAUUGGUGCUAAUAUCACCUGUGACAGACGGUACCGGCAUAAGAAGCACCGGCUAACUACGUGCCAGCCGCCGCCGUAA